rnacentral:rRNA from 1 species
UACGGAGGAUCCGAGCGUUAUCCGGAUUUAUUGGGUUUAAAGGGUGCGUAGGCGGUUUGAUAAGUUAGAGGUGAAAUGUCGGGGCUCAACCCCGAAACUGCCUCUAAUACUGUUGGACUAGAGAAUAGUUGCGGUAGGCGGAAUGUAUGGUGUAGCGGUGAAAUGCUUAGAGAUCAUACAGAACACCGAUUGCGAAGGCAGCUUACCAAACUAUAUCUGACGUUGAAGCACGAAAGCGUGGGUAGCAAACAGG